rnacentral:misc_RNA from 1 species
CUGCACCAACGUGCCCGAGCAACAUGGUGGUUGUUCACCUUCGCGUACAAGAGGCUACAAGACAUGGCGCCCCUCUGCAACGCUCUGUCCGGUACUAGCCUUCAUCUACGGCGACAGGGCAACUACCACGACUACUCUCCAUCGUACAAGGGGGUCUGCUGGCCUCGCCACCAUCUGCUCCAGCCACACCACCCUAUGCGCGCUGGUGGCCGCGGGACCAUGAAGGGCUACACUGCACGUGAUUCACUUGCUGCAAGCAACACCAACGUUGGCCUCCACGGGCCUGCCUCUAAAGGAUGA